CUUGACAUCCAGCGAACUUUCCAGAGAUGGAUUGGUGCCUUCGGGAACGCUGAGACAGGUGCUGCAUGGCUGUCGUCAGCUCGUGUUGUGAAAUGUUGGGUUAAGUCCCGCAACGAGCGCAACCCUUAUCCUUUGUUGCCAGCGAUUCGGUCGGGAACUCAAAGGAGACUGCCGGUGAUAAACCGGAGGAAGGUGGGGAUGACGUCAAGUCAUCAUGGCCCUUACGAGUAGGGCUACACACGUGCUACAAUGGCGCAUACAAAGAGGAGCGACCUCGCGAGAGCAAGCGGACCUCAUAAAGUGCGUCGUAGUCCGGAUCGGAGUCUGCAACUCGACUCCGUGAAGUCGGAAUCGCUAGUAAUCGUGGAUCAGAAUGCCACGGUGAAUACGUUCCCGGGCCUUGUACACACCGCCCGUCACACCAUGGGAGUGGGUUGCAAAAGAAGUAGGUAGCUUAACCCUCGGGAGGGCGCUUACCACUUUGUGAUUCAUGACUGGGGUGAAGUCGUAACAAGGUAGGCGUAGCGAG
rnacentral:rRNA from 1 species